ACCGGAGAGCCCUUCUCUUUGCCCUCUUCUCUCUCUACAAAACUCUUCCAAAUCUUGAUCUCCCCCUCCUCCGAUCUCUUCAUCACUAAUCGACCAUAAAAACCACCAUGCCACCGCCAUGCAACCAGCCUCAGGGCCAUCUUCUCUGGUGAAACCAAGAACGACCAGCCUACCAUCGCUGAUCGGAGCCACCACUCCAGUGCCACCCCCAGAUCUGCCACCUCCACCAGCCGCGAUUCGACCCCUUUUUUUCGCCUCUCUCUCACGCCGCACCAAAUCUGCAAUCCCCUUCAUCUCCGGUGCCACCAACAAUAGAAAUAGCACCCCCUAAGAUCUGACUAUUAUACGGUUUAAGUAGACUACUACGGGUUUCGAAGAGUAACCAAAUUAGUUUAAUAAUUAGAUUGUAUUAGCUUGAGUGUACUUUCUUAUUAUUUGAUUUUUAAUAUUGUGUAAAGACAUUAUUAUCGAUGUAAUAAUAUAAUUUCUUGGGGAUUGCUUUGGGGGGCGGGGAUUAUGUGCUCUAUAAAUGGUACAGGUAGGCACAACCUAGGAUUACGUGCAGGACGUGUUAUUUGAAUCAUCUAGGCACAAAAUUAGGGUCUAUUAAUAUGAAUCUUGCUAUAGUUUAUUAAUUACUCUUAUCUAUCUAAAAUUGAUGUAUCAUAUUAAUUGAUAUGAAGCUUAUUAAUUUAACAUUAGGCCUGUUGACGUAUUUCUGCAUGUUAAGCAUAUUGAUUUGAACCUAAGCAUGCUAAUAUCUUUUUAACAUAUCCACAUUGAAUUAAGGCAUGAUAAUAUUUUUGAUACGUUAGCUUAUUAUAUUAAUUUUCGCAUGUUAAGCACAACUUAUUUAGUAUGUCUUUACAUGUUUAGGUGUGUCGACACAGUUUUAGGCAUAUUAAAAUAAUUUGAGCAUGUUAACAUCAAAGUUUCAGCAUGUCUAACAUCAUGUUUAGCAAUUUUAGAUUAAUUUCCAACAUGUUUAAAUGAUUUUUCUGCGCAUCUAAAUAAAUUUCAGCACUUAAACUGAAUUCCAGCAUGCUUAAAAUGCUAGUUCCCUACAUUUAUAGAAUGUUAAAAUAUUAGAUUUUACGCAUUCUUGGCAUGUUUUCAGCAUAUCAACAUGAAAAUACUGUGCCUUAACUUAUUCUCAGCAUGUUCAAUUAACUUUUUUAGCAUGUUUAAUUAAUUUUUCAGCAUGUUUAGUUGACUUUCAGCAUGCUAAAAUACUAGUAAUUCUCUACAUUUUCUACAUGUUAAUUUGUUCUCCGCAUUUAAGUGCAUCCCUAACAUGUUAACAAAUCCUUUAAUAUUUUACUAGUUUCUUGUAUUCUUAUUAUAGUUUAUAACACUUAAUUCACAACACAUUUUCUUGACACAUUUACCACACUUUUGAUACCUCUCAUGAACAAACAUAAGGUUGUUGCAUACACGAAUCACAGUCUUUUAUCAUGAAUCGUUGAUCAUUUAGACACCAUGCCUAUAGGUUAAUGAUGUAGCAAUUAAUUAUUUGUCUUGGCAUGCUUACCAUAUUAAUCAACUCAUUUAUUAACCAAGAGGCUAACUUGGGACAAUUAUGUGCUACUUGUGGUCCAACGUGUUACACGCUUCGAGUCCUAGGCAACAUAGUUUUCUUCUCAUCUAGAACACAAAUUCAAAAUUAGUAAAGUCUAAUGCCUCUUGGACGAUAGGUGGGAUGUUAAGUAUUACUAAAAACAUUAAUUUUCUCCUUGUCAUAGAACGCCCUUAGACUUGACAUCCAGCCUAGGUGGGGUAGGACAGGUAGUCAUUCAGAAAUGAUGAUCCCAACAAAAUAUUAACGGCGAGGCUAAUGACAUUAUUACUUGUGUAAGAUUUUAGCCCUUUGGUCGGAUGACGCUUAGCAAUUUGGGUUUCUCAUCUGAAUAAAACCAAAACAUUUCUUUGUUUGAAUUGGACAGUAUCUUUUUUUAGUCUUUUUAUUUACUUUACAUGUUUAUUUGGGGUAGUUAGUUUAUUACAUAAGCAGUUCCCAUUAUUAAAUUA